rnacentral:rRNA from 1 species
CGAGCUUCCGUUGAUGACGUGCUUGCACUGAUUUCAACAAUGAAGCGAGUGGCGAACUGGUGAGUAACACGUGGGAAAUCUGCCCAGAAGCAGGGGAUAACACUUGGAAACAGGUGCUAAUACCGUAUAACAACAAAAUCCGCAUGGAUUUUGUUUGAAAGGUGGCUUCGGCUAUCACUUCUGGAUGAUCCCGCGGCGUAUUAGUUAGUUGGUGAGGUAAAGGCCCACCAAGACGAUGAUACGUAGCCGACCUGAGAGGGUAAUCGGCCACAUUGGGACUGAGACACGGCCCAAACUCCUACGGGAGGCAGCAGUAGGGAAUCUUCCACAAUGGACGAAAGUCUGAUGGAGCAAUGCCGCGUGAGUGAAGAAGGGUUUCGGCUCGUAAAACUCUGUUGUUAAAGAAGAACACCUUUGAGAGUAACUGUUCAAGGGUUGACGGUAUUUAACCAGAAAGCCACGGCUAACUACGUGCCAGCAGCCGCGGUAAUACGUAGGUGGCAAGCGUUGUCCGGAUUUAUUGGGCGUAAAGCGAGCGCAGGCGGUUUUUUAAGUCUGAUGUGAAAGCCUUCGGCUUAACCGGAGAAGUGCAUCGGAAACUGGGAGACUUGAGUGCAGAAGAGGACAGUGGAACUCCAUGUGUAGCGGUGGAAUGCGUAGAUAUAUGGAAGAACACCAGUGGCGAAGGCGGCUGUCUAGUCUGUAACUGACGCUGAGGCUCGAAAGCAUGGGUAGCGAACAGGAUUAGAUACCCUGGUAGUCCAUGCCGUAAACGAUGAGUGCUAAGUGUUGGAGGGUUUCCGCCCUUCAGU